AGGGCUGCUAAAGUAGCUGCUGGACACUGCUCAAGAUUAAAAUAUAAACUAUAAUUAACUUGCACUAGCACGUGGAGCAAUACCACGUGUUCAGUGUUGGAAAAAAACUCUUGUGCGUGUGACAGCGGCUAUUGUGGUAGUGCCCUAAUACGAC